UAGUCUACGCCGUAAACGAUGCUUACUAGAAGUUUGGAAUUAUUUGAGCUUCUAAGGGAAACCGAUAAGUAAGCCACCUGGGGAGUACGUUCGCAAGGCUGAAACUCAAAGGAAUUGACGGGGGCUCACACAAGCGGUGGAGGAUGUGGCUUAAUUCGAGGCUACGCGAAGAACCUUACCUAGGCUUAACAUGUUUGAGAAUUCCUAUGAAAGUAGGAAGUGCCCUUCGGGGAGCUCUUACGUAGGUGCUGCAUGGCUGUCGUCAGCUCGUGUCGUGAGAUGUCGGGUUAAGUCCCUUAACGAGCGAAACCCUUAUCAUUAGUUGCCAGCGAGUCAUGUCGGGGACUCUAAUGAGACUGCCGGUGUUAAACCGGAGGAAGGUGGGGAUGACGUCAAGUCCUCAUGGCCUUUAUGCCUAGGGCUGCACACGUCCUACAAUGCACUGUACAAAGCGACGCAAAAUCGCAAGAUCUAGCAAACCGCAUAAAGCAGUGCCCAGUUCGGAUUGCAGG
rnacentral:rRNA from 1 species